AAAUUCAUAACCCAUUAAAACUCUUCCCAAACCCUUCUUCUUCAUGGAGAGACCACAGCACAAAUCCUAGAACCUAAUAUACAAUAAUUAUCAACUGUUUGUUGGUGGGAAAAUCGAAAAUGAAGAAACCUUUUCUUUUUCAUAAAGAUUGAACAAAAUGCAGAACCUGCGAUCCAAAAAGAAAAAGAGACCAGCCGCCGCCAGCCCUAAAACCCUAAAAAAACUAGCCGGAAAAUACCUCUGUCCGCUAGCCCCCAUCCCGCAAACGAUUUCAUAACACCACCAUCCCCUCAUCACCUCUGAACUCUCACAACCUAUGCCUUCUUCUUCUUCAUGAAAAUGAGAACCAAAAAACACAGUUGAACCCUAGAAGAACCCUAGACCACAGCCACCAACCGCCAUCGACCACCUCCAUACACCAACGACCCCUACUUCUGUCAACCAGCAAACAACCACCACAGCAGCCGUCAACUACACCUGUUCAUCUUCUCCAAUGCCAACCAGUAACAAUCUCCAUCCCAAACACUAUAGCUCGAGCUCUGCUUUCUUUUUCGCAAAAGAUUACAUGGAAAAGGCUCGAGUUUUGAGUUCUCCGUUGAAGUCAGAUGAUCGAGUAUUCCGGUUUAAGUGGAGAGGUUUGUUGUUGAUUCGAGGUUUGUCUAUGGUUCAUCGCAUUUUUUGAGUUCAACGCUGCCUCACGAUUAAUUUUCAGAUUUCAUUUGAGGUUGAUUUCUUCUUCCUUCUAUUCUGUUUUGCUUAAUUAAUAUCAGGAUUCCAUCGUUCCUUAGUCUAUUUUGCUUUAAUACGUUGAUGCUAUGAGUUAGCGUGUGAUUGUUAUGCCUUGGUAAUUUCCAUAUUCUUUUUCUUUGCGUUUGAUUUCCCUGCCAAUAACUCCAUGUUGAUCGUGAGAAGAAGAGAUAACUCAGCUUGUUUAAUCUAAUUCAACAUCAUAUGAGCCUUCAAAUUAAAUGUAAGACUUGGAUCUAAAUCAUUUUAAACAUUAAGUAGGCCUAGGGAUUGUGAAAUGUUUGAUUAACUUCAAGAGUUGUUAGAG
rnacentral:lncRNA from 1 species